GCUGCAUUCCAUCUCCGUAAUGAAGCCUCUUCAAAUACUCAGCUUUGCCACUCCCACCCUGCCAGAUUGUACUCUCUGCCACACGCCUGGACUCCCACCUAGCCUGCCCAAGUCUGCUGCUGUUCAUUUUACUGGUUCUACCCCUUUGGUCGCCUGCUCUCACAUUUCCCUGGACUUCCCUCUGGAUUAGCUCCUUCUGCCCCUAACUGCCCAGCCCCUGCCUCAGCCCCAGGCACCCAGUUACCAGCUCUAACUGCCUGUGAACUUGAAAUAAACAUCUUUGACUGCCUCCCAGUCUCCUGGUCUGUGUCUGCAUUUGGGUUCACCUGCUCAGCUGCCCUUAACAAAAAUGUACUUUUAUAGGAAGGCUUUUCUACAGUAAAUCUUUUGUAUAUUUAUUUUUACCUGUUUUCAUUAUACACUCUGCUUUAUUAGUCCCUAUGUUCUGUUUUUAUUCAUUUGUCUGUUUUACCUUGCUUUUUAUCAUGACUGUGUAUUUUAUCUUCUUCUGUAAAGCACUUUGUAAAUAUGUUUUGAAAAUAAAGUUACUUGUUAAUCCUGUUUAUCAUC